GAUAUGGUUCCUUUGGAGAUUAACGCUGAUAAUGUUAAUUCUGUAAUUAUAAAAAUUACCCAUAUCU
rnacentral:tRNA from 1 species